rnacentral:lncRNA from 1 species
CUACUGGGUUCCACCUCUAGGGUUGCUCGUCCACAUCUAUCCACAUGCCUGGUCAAUGCCCUAGAUUGACAGGGUUGUGCCAAAGCCUCCGUGGCCACAGUGUCCAGGGUGGUAGUCAGGGCAUGUUACUUGUCUAAGUUAAGCAAGGUGUUCUGGUCAUCUUUCUAGGUAGCAAACCACCACAAGUGUGGUAGCAUAAGGGCACCUGGGUGGUUCAGUUGGUUAAGUGUCUGACUUUGGCUCAGGUCAUGAUCUCGCAGUUUGUGAGUUCGAGCCCUGAGUUGGGCUCUGUGCUGACAGCUCAGAGCCUGGAGCCUGCUUUGGAUUCUGUGUCUCCCUCUGUCUCUCUUCCCCUCCCCUGCCCAUGCUGUGUCUCUCUCUGUAUCUCAAUAAUACAUAAAUGUUAAAAUAAAAUUUUAAUGUGGUAGUGUGAAACCACCAUUGUAUUAUGCCCAUGGAUGCUGUGGGCCUGGAAUUCUGUCACAAUGAAGCAGGACGGUUUAUCUCUCCUUUGUGAGCUUUGUGACUUCUGCUGGGAAGCCUGGAAAAAGUGGGAGUGACUUGAUGGCAAAAGGCUGGCAUCAUCUGAUGACCCCUUCACUCAGUUCCUACAUGUGGUUUCUCCAUGUCCCCUGGGCUUCCCCACAAGAUGGCAGCUCCAGGACAGUCAGACUUUUGACACAGCAGCUCUGGUCUCCAGUACUAGCAUUCCAGUGGAGGAGGAAGCUGCAUUGUCUUUUUGUUUUCCUUUCUGUUUUUUUCAUAAGCCCACCAAAUUCAAGAGGAGAAGACACCUGUCCAUGUGAAGGUGGCAAAGUUACAUUGCAGAGGAGCAUGUAGGACAGAUGAUAUUGUUGUACGUGUCUUCAGAAAUCCAAUCUGCCACAAAAUGAAUAGGGUAGUUUCCAGAAUCAGACGGUUUCUUGAUCUACAUUUGAAAACUGAAAGAAGAACAUUAGGUCCUAAUCUCCAUCAACAAAAUUCCUUCCAGCCAAGAACUCCCAGGUUCCACUUUGUUCAUUUCUGUAGGAAUUUGGACGAGCUAAAAGAGACACUGUUUUUCAACUCAGGAUCCCCAUCCCAUCCAAUUGGGAUGAAUGUCAGAUGUGAAAGCUGUGUGUGUGGGGGUGGUGGUGGUGGUGGUGGUGGAGAUAAGUCCCUUAAAGACAUAGAAUAUGAAGGGAGGAAUGGAGUUAGAAUAAAUAGAAUGCUGCAUGUUGAAAUGUACGCUUGUUUAUUGAACACUUUUAAAGAAACUGAAAAUGCCAUUGGUCCUAUCUCUUUAAUUAGAGAUGAGACCAGAAGGCUGGGGAUGUCGAGGUUAGCUGAAAACAGAGCUGCACUGACCCCAGUCUAAACAGAGGGAAAAUUAGUG